rnacentral:rRNA from 1 species
AGACGUCUACAUUAGAUACCCGCGUAGUCCCAGCCGUAAACUAUGCGCGUUAGGUGUAUCGGUGACCACGAGUUACCGAGGUGCCGAAGGGAAACCGUGAAACGUGCCGCCUGGGAAGUACGGUCGCAAGGCUGAAACUUAAAGGAAUUGGCGGGGGAGCACCACAACAGGUGGAGCCUGCGGUUUAAUUGGACUCAACGCCGGGAAGCUCACCGGAUAGGACAGCAGAAUGAUUGCCGGGCUGAAGACUCUGCAUGGCUAGCUG